AGGACGAACGCUGGCGGCGUGCUUAACACAUGCAAGUCGAGCGGUAAGGCCUUUCGGGGUACACGAGCGGCGAACGGGUGAGUAACACGUGGGUGAUCUGCCCUGCACUCUGGGAUAAGCCUGGGAAACUGGGUCUAAUACCGGAUAUGACCUGCUCUCGCAUGGGGGGUGGGUGGAAAGAUUUAUCGGGUGCAGGGAUGGGGCCCGCGGCCUAUCAGCUUGUUGGUGGGGUAAUGGCCUACCAAGGCGACGACGGGUAGCCGACCUGAGAGGGUGACCGGCCACACUGGGACUGAGACACGGCCCAGACUCCUACGGGAGGCAGCAGUGGGAAUAUUGCACAAUGGGCGAAAGCCUGAUGCAGCGACGCCGCGUGAGGAUGAAGGCCGUUCGGGUUGUAAACCUCUUUCAGCGAGGACGAAGCGCAAGUGACGUACCUGCAGAAGAAGCGAACCGGCUAACUACGU
rnacentral:rRNA from 1 species